rnacentral:rRNA from 1 species
CCUACGGGUGGCAGCAGUGAGGAAUAUUGGUCAAUGGGCGUAAGCCUGAACCAGCCAAGUCGCGUGAGGGAUGAAGGUUCUAUGGAUCGUAAACCUCUUUUAUAAGGGAAUAAAGUGUGGGACGUGUCCUGUUUUGUAUGUACCUUAUGAAUAAGGAUCGGCCAACUCCGUGCCAGCAGCCGCGGUAAUACGGAGGAUCCGAGCGUUAUCCGGAUUUAUUGGGUUUAAAGGGUGCGUAGGCGGCCUUUUAAGUCAGCGGUGAAAGUCCGUGGCUCAACCAUAGAAUUGCCGUUGAAACUGGGAGGCUUGAGUAUGUUUGAGGCAGGCGGAAUGCGUGGUGUAGCGGUGAAAUGCUUAGAUAUCACGCGGAACCCCGAUUGCGAAGGCAGCCUGCCAAGCCAUGACUGACGCUGAUGCGCGAAAGCGUGGGGAUCAAACAGGAUUAGAUACCCCUGUAGUC